rnacentral:lncRNA from 1 species
AUGCUCAGUGUAAAUUCUCCUGGAGCCUGUCAAGCUAUGUUUGAACUCGUUCCAGAAUAGUGGAUUUACUUUUUUUUCCCCACCAGGAAGAAUACUCGAUUAGACUGCAUUUUGCCUUGCCUUGCUUUUCCUUCUCCCUUUUUUUCCUUCUCCCUUUCUUUUUCUUUCUUUCUUUCUUUCUUUCUUUCUUGCUUUCUUUCUUUCUUUCGUUCUUUCUUUCUUUCUUUCUCUGUCUUUCCUCUUUCUCUCUUUCCUUCUUUCUUUUUUUUCUUCUUUCUUUCCUUCCUUCCUUCCUUCUUUCUUUUCUUUCUUUCCAUUUUUUUUCCUCCAGAAGAAUGGAAACAAUAUUCUUUUCCGAUCAGUUCAGUAAUACAAUGUCCUUCAGUGUCUAUAUGAGCAUUUCAGUGGAGAAGAAAAGAAACUUUGCUACCUGGGAACUGAAGACUGCUUAGGCAAAGAUGGGCUGUCUGGAAAGCUGGACUCAGCCUGGAGCAUGUUCCCCAGAUUGCUAUUUUGUGAAGGCUUCCGCAUACAAAUGACUCAGAUCCAAACAUUCAAAAAUGAUCUUGGAGGGCCAUCUGGUUCUUGCUGGUUCUAAAAGCUUCAUUCAGCCUGAAGUAUGGAUCCAGUACAAAAGAUAGUGAGAGCUGUUCAUUGAGGUUUAACAUGUUCCACUGACCGAGGCUAGAAGCUGGCUUUAAAAAAUAGCCGACACUGAUGCUCCAAGGGCCAAUUGCUGAUGCUUGUCACAGUGAAGACCCUGGUGUUACACAUCCAAUCGUUCACCUCCUUCCAAGACAAUGACAUUCCAGGAAACCUUCACUGCUAAGAGGAACUGAGAUCUAGAGUAUCUCCUUGAGGAAGUACAACUGACUUGUCUUUGGACAAAAUUGAGAAGAACUCAUAAACUUCGCUUCUUCACUUCUGCUCCUC